UACAGGGGUCUCAAGCGUUGUUCGGAUUCUUUUGGCGUAAAGGGUGUGUAGGUGGCUCCGUAAGUCGGGUGUGAAAUUUCGGAGCUUAACUCCGAAACUGCAUUCGAUACUGCGGUGCUUGAGGACUGGAGAGGAGACUGGAAUUCAUGGUGUAGCAGUGAAAUGCGUAGAGAUCAUGAGGAAGACCAGUGGCGAAGGCGGGUCUCUGGACAGUUCCUGACACUGAGACACGAAGGCCAGGGGAGCAAACGGG
rnacentral:rRNA from 1 species